rnacentral:rRNA from 1 species
GAUGAACGCUGGCGGCAGGCCUAACACAUGCAAGUCGAGCGCCCCUUUCGGGGGGAGCGGCGGACGGGUUAGUAACGCGUGGGAACGUGCCCUCCUCUACGGAAUAGCCAUUGGAAACGAUGAUUAAUACCGUAUACGCCCUUUUGGGGAAAGAUUUAUCGGAGGAGGAUCGGCCCGCGUUAGAUUAGAUAGUUGGUGGGGUAACGGCCUACCAAGUCUACGAUCUAUAGCUGGUUUGAGAGGAUGAUCAGCAACACUGGGACUGAGACACGGCCCAG